CGGACGUGGAUAACCUGCCUCACACAGGGGGAUAACAGUUAGAAAUGACUGCUAAUACCGCAUAAGCGCACGGCAUCGCAUGAUGCAGUGUGAAAAACUCCGGUGGUGUGAGAUGGAUCCGCGUCUGAUUAGGUAGUUGGUGGGGUAACGGCCCACCAAGCAGACGAUCAGUAGCCGACCUGAGAGGGUGACCGGCCACAUUGGGACUGAGACACGGCCCAA
rnacentral:rRNA from 1 species